rnacentral:rRNA from 1 species
CCUACGGGAGGCAGCAGUGAGGAAUAUUGGUCAAUGGGCUUACGCCUGAACCAGCCAAGUCGCGUGAGGGAAGACUGCCCUAUGGGUUGUAAACCUCUUUUGUCAGGGAGCAAUUGGCGCUACGUGUAGCGUUAUCGAGAGUACCUGAAGAAUAAGAAGCGGCUAACUCCGUGCAAGCAGCCGCGGUAAUACGGAGGAUGCGAGCGUUAUCCGGAUUUUUUGGGUUUAAAGGGUGCGUAGGCGGAAUGCCAAGUCAGCGGUAAAAUCGCGGGGCUCAACCUCGCUCCGCCGUUGAAACUGGCGUUCUUGAGUGGGCGAGAGGUAAGCGGAAUGCGUGGUGUAGCGGUGAAAUGCAUAGAUAGCGCGAAGAACUCCGAUUGCGAAGGCAGCAUACCGGCGCCCAACUGACGCUGAAGCACGAAAGCGUGGGUAUCGAACAGGAUUAGAUACCCCAGUAGUC